rnacentral:tRNA from 1 species
GGCUUGCUGGUCUAGUGGUAUGAUUCUCGCUUUGGGUGCGAGAAGUCACGGGUUCGAUUCCCGUGCAAGCCC